rnacentral:rRNA from 1 species
GGGGCGCUACCUGCAGUCGAACGGUAACAGGAAGCAGCUUGCUGCUUUGCUGACGAGUGGCGGACGGGUGAGUAAUGUCUGGGAAACUGCCUGAUGGAGGGGGAUAACUACUGGAAACGGUAGCUAAUACCGCAUAACGUCGCAAGACCAAAGAGGGGGACCUUCGGGCCUCUUGCCAUCGGAUGUGCCCAGAUGGGAUUAGCUAGUAGGUGGGGUAACGGCUCACCUAGGCGACGAUCCCUAGCUGGUCUGAGAGGAUGACCAGCCACACUGGAACUGAGACACGGUCCAGACUCCUACGGGAGGCAGCAGUGGGGAAUAUUGCACAAUGGGCGCAAGCCUGAUGCAGCCAUGCCGCGUGUAUGAAGAAGGCCUUCGGGUUGUAAAGUACUUUCAGCGGGGAGGAAGGGAGUAAAGUUAAUACCUUUGCUCAUUGACGUUACCCGCAGAAGAAGCACCGGCUAACUCCGUGCCAGCAGCCGCGGUAAUACGGAGGGUGCAAGCGUUAAUCGGAAUUACUGGGCGUAAAGCGCACGCAGGCGGUUUGUUAAGUCAGAUGUGAAAUCCCCGGGCUCAACCUGGGAACUGCAUCUGAUACUG